UCUUCCGUAGUAUAGUGGUUAGUAUAUGAGCUUGUCAUUUGGGUUUCGGCCCUCGACAUCGCUCGGGACCCGGGUUCAAUUCCCGGCGGGAGAG
rnacentral:tRNA from 1 species